CAACCAUCUCCACUGGGUAACGCGUUCACUUUAACCUGAAACUCAUCAGUCCUUCUCAGCCAAUCUUCCACCUGGGUUCUGGGCAGAUUCUCAUGCCGUUCAUUCUCGUCCAUUUCUCGCUGCAAAUCAUCUCUAAGACACACCAGAGCCUCUAUGUUUUUCUGCAGAUCAAUAAAAUUCUUCCGACUCGUCAAGAAGUUACCGAUCCUGCUGUAAAUCGAUUUAACUAGGAGUCGACAAGGUUCUGCUAAAAGUAAAUUGAGGGAUGCAGCCACCACUUCCAUGGCAAGUAAUUUCAGGAAAUUGAUGAUUCUGCUGAAUGAUCAUAAGAAAGGAGAAUGCGAUUGAAAAGGGUUUGGCGUACAGUAAAGCAAAUCUUUCGAUAUUGCAAGUACUUGUAUUUUUACGAUCUCACCUUAUCGGAAAUUUCCACCACAAUCGCCAUCGGUUACUGUUGGAGGUUUUCUUCGUAUUUGGAUUUCAUCGAUUACAGGUGGGCUAUCGUUGAUUUCUAUUUGUGAGUCUACGACAAUCUUUGCUGAAAAUUGUCGGCAGUUGGUCUUGGGUUUUCGGCUUUCGAAAGUAAUUUUUUGAUGGAGUUGAACUGCAGGUGAUCGAUUUUUCGAGUUGUUUGUCAUUUGCUUCUGCUUCUAUGUGGAGGAGACAUAUCUUUUGGAUUUUUGGAUAGGUAUAAGGUUUGUUCGGGCCUUUCCUUUGAUGGCCUGUACAUUUAGAUUUAGGGAAAAAUUCGAUUAACUGUGCACAAUUCAAAAAACAUGUUUAAAGUUUAACUAAUGCAAAAAUCAAAUUUUUAUCUAAUUAAUUAAAAAUAUUUAUUAAUCAAAUAUAAUAAAAUUACAAUUAUAAAAUUAAUGAUCAUGUGUACACAUUUAUAGGUCACAUAUUUAUUUCUUGGUUACAUAUCUUCAAAUUAAUUGGUCACAAAUUAUUUCGAGGUCACGAAUCAAAACUUUGAUAGGUCACAGAUAAUUUCGUGAUCAAGGAUCAUAAUUUAUCCAUCAAUUUUAUAGGUCACAGUUUAUGUCAUUGGUUACAAAUCUAAAAAUUAUAGGUCACGAGUCACAACGAUAGGUCACAAUUUAUGUCAUUGGUUACAAAUCUAAAAAAUUAUAGGUCACGAGUCACAACUAUAGGUCACAAAUGGUUAUAAAUCCAAAAUAUUAUAGAUCAUAGGUCACGUAUUUUUGAAUUUGAUGGUCACAAAUUAUUUUUUAAUCAUAAAAUGAUCGAAUUUCAAGGUCACGGAUUAAUUGUCGGUCACAGACACCAAACACCGAUCUCGAUCCACCUUAGUACAUGGUCACAAAUACUCCACCACCAAACCCACCACCAUUGCCAUCGGAACCACACCAUCGCCGCCUAAACCAAAUCACCAAGAAAAACUGUCAUCAUGUCCUUCACCACACCACCACACCUCCAACAAGACACCGACCAAGAAAGCCGACCACAAAUGCCACCACCGCACCCACAUCCACGCUGUACAGAGUCCACCACCAUACAAGACACCGUCUUUGCACAAGACACCAUCCAAAUCCAUCGCCAACCAAACACAUCACCACCCAAAAAAUUAUAGUCACAGGUCACAUAUUUUCAAAUUUGAUAGUCAAAUAUUACUUUUUUUAGUCAUAGAUGAUCAAAUUUUAAGGUCACAGGUCAAAUAGUUGAUCACCACCAACUCCACUGUCACCACCGUCACUUGCAACCACCAUCACCUUGUCGCCACCGGCACCGCCAACACCAACAUCAACAAAAUCAACACAACUAGAUCCAUCAUCACCACCAAACACAAAAAAAAAACCACCAUUGCCGUCUGAACCACACCAUUGCCGCCUCCAAAUCCACCACCAACACUGUCGCGCGCCAAAAAUACAAACAUCACCACACUGCACCACACCACAACACCCACAUAGCACCAACAAAAUCGACUUCCACAAACAUAGAACUCAUAUCACACGCCACCAAGACAAACCGGCUUCCACUCACACCGCACCAACAAUCCGGCUUUUACACACUUCUGCGCAUCGAGCCAUUGUUGCAUCGCCGUCGACUAGUUGGUCGCACAGCGCAGCCACGAUGACGCUGCUGUGAGAGUUGACUCCGCGACGCUCAGAUCGACGAGUGACGACUUCGAUCGGCCAGAUUGCUCACAACACCGGCUGCGAGGGCAUCGCACUGCAGCAACUAUGCUGUCGCUCGACUCUCACGUCUCCGGUGGCGGUGCUCUUCAACGAUAAUGGAGUUUUGAGGAAGAGAGAGGGUAGAAAGGGGGAGAGUGAGAGGGAGACGGUGGAGAGAGAGACAGAGGGAGGCGAGAAGUGAAAAAUCUGAGGAUAUGAAAAAAUGAUUAUGGUUUGUUUGAAUUAGGUAGUGUGGGUAUAAAUAAUACAUGAUUUCUGAUUAAAACACAUUUGCACUUAAUUUUUGCACUCACAUCUUUAAAUACCGGAAAUCCUGUAAUUUCCUCUUAGAUUUAUUUACGUUGGGCCAAUUUCAUAUUGGGCUUUAGGCUUUGUUGACAACAUCUUAGGAUUUACUUAUUGUUGCAUUGGAAUCACAUAAUUUUGGAUUGGGCUUGCUAUUUUAUUAGAUUUGACUUGUUAAAUUCUUUAUUUUACUUAAUCAUGCUGGUAGAAAACUUAUUAUUCGUUUCAAUGGCAAAAACUUCUCAGGUUGGGAAUUUCAAUUUGGGAUGUUUGUGGAAGAAAACGAAUUAAAGGGUCAUUUAGAUAGUCUUCUACGGCUCCGACCAACUCCAAAGAACUCAAUUCUUGCGAAAGUAAGGAUGCCAACGUUGCUUCUAGCUAUUAAGUUUUGUUGAACCACAUAUGGUCAACAAUCUCCGCUCAUUCACUACUGCUAAAGAAAUGUGGGGUCAUCUCAAACGUGUCUACUAUCAGGAUAACAGUGCACGAAAGUUUCAAUUUGAGUUAGAAAUUGCGAACUAUAAAUAUGGUAAUCUUUCUGUUGACCAAUUUUAUGCUAGGUUCCUUAAUUUAUGGAGUGGAUAUUUCGAGAUAGUUCAAUCCAAAGUUCCUAAGGGAGCUUUAGCAGCGCUACAAGUUGUUCAUGCCGAGAGUGAAAGAGAAAGACCAAAAUUUGAAAUUAUGCUGGCUAGUUUACUGAAUCGUACCCCUAUUCCUUCCUUAGAUGUAUGCUUAAGUGAAUUAUUACGUGACGAACAGCGUCUUGCAACACAACUAGGCAUAACUCAAGAAACAGUGACUACUAGGAUGGUUAUAUGGCGUACGUUGCUCAAGGGAAAGGAAAAUCCAAGACAGAGAUACUGUAGCAUGCUUUUUUCUAUAAUGUUUGUAUUUCGGUUCCGCUAUUUGAAUUGCACUUAUAGUUUGGUUAAAAUUCCUUUUGUUUUACUGGUGAUAUAUUAAAUAAUGAUUGAUCGGGAUAUGUUUAGAUAUAUAAAGAUUGAUAAAGUUUCGAUUCAUUGGAAAUUGAUGAAUUUCAUUCUCUAACUAUUUUAUGAAAGUUGAAAGUAGUAGUAUUAGUUAGAAAACUUUAAUAUUUUCACACAAUCAAUACGCUCUAUCAUUCGUUAUUUUCGAAUCAUAAACAAGUUCAUUAAUCAACUAACCACACAAACAAUUAUUUUUCUAUUCAAAUCACAACUCACAAGUGUAUAAUAAGUUCAAAAGCAACAAAUAAAAGAAAGAACUGUGGAAAAAUGGCCUGAAUGAGAAUCUAAGACUUACCGAAAGAGAAGAGAGAAAGAGACGAUUUAGAUAGAAAUUAACAGAUUAACAGGCAAAUGCGAUUGAUGAUUCGUUCAGUAUUGUCAGACAAGCAUCAAAUGUUAGAGAAAUGAGAAUUUAUGUUAGAGCUUCCAAAGCUUUGGACAUGAUUGGCUAACGAAGUUUUGUUGAAUUAUGAUUUGGAUUGUUGAAUAUAUAUAUUUUUUCAUUUCAUAUGAUUUUGAAAUAAUUUUAAUUUAAUUUAGAUAUGGGUGAGAACGUGUUGUGAACUUGUUAAAUCACAAUAAUGAUGAACAUAGUUUACUUUCUAUGAUUAUUUCAAUAGGCUUAUUGUAAUUUGUAUUGAUAAAUUGAUAUUUUUUCUGAAAAGUGAAAACUGUAAAAUUUUUAAGUUAACAAAAUUAAUGUUUUAAUUAAAAAAAUUUUAAAACGAUUCGGUUCGUUUUUGUACGAUUUUUUAAAAUCAAAACCUAAACCAAACCAUUUUAAAACGAUUUGGUUCGAUUUGAAGAAAAAAACCACGAGUCCUCAUAGCUCUGAACCAAUGGUUUCAACUCAAUUUGCGGUUUCGCGAUUUUUUUGUGCAGCAGCAUGGGACGCCCAAAAGGUCUAGAUCAAUCGCAUGCCAAACGUCAUCCAAAAUAAGGAGAAAUCCUCUCUUUUUCGAGCUUUUUAUGCAGUCGAAUGCCAAUUCUUUCUUCACUCUCCUCCAUCUUCACCUGCAAAUUCAAUCUAUCAGCAAUUUGUAUCUGAAUUCUUCUCAAGUUUGUCUCUCUGGACGACGUAGCCCAUAUGAUAACACUGAAUGGUUGUGCUGAAGGCAUCUUGUUGAUCUCAUUAUUCAAAUUCUUCACCAAAGUAGACUUGCCUACUCCCCCCGUCCCACAAAUCCCAAUUCUCCUAACCUUAUCAUUGAUCAAAAGUUCCAUUGUCUGAAAUAAUUUCUGCGAUGCUGUUUUCUGACCCGUAAUCGAUGCACCCGGAAUAUGCUCGACCGUUUUCGGCUUCUCAAUUACAACCAACAUAUUCUCGAAGACAUUGCCAACUUCCAUAAGCUGUUUCACUUAAGCAAUUUUGCAAGUUUUCUGCUUAAUUUAUAACGCAGCCUGCAACCAUCUCCACCGGGUAAUGUGUUCACUUCAACUAGAGACUCAAUGUUUUUCUGCAGAUCAAUAAAAUUCCUCCGGCUCUUCAAGAAUUUACCGAUCCUGCUGUAAAUUUAUCUAACUAGGAGUCGACAAGGUUCUGCUAAAAGUGAAUAUAGGGCUGCAGCCACCACUUCCAUAGCAAGUAAUUUCAGGAAAUUGAUGAUUCUGCUGAAUGAUCACAAGAAAAGAGACUGCGACUGAAAAGGGUUUGGCAUAUUCUUGUGGUCAUUGACCUGUAUUUUUCCCAUACAAACAACUUUCACCCAAUUUGUCAAUCUGGUCACUAAACUAUAAUUUAGAGCAAUUAAGCUACUAAAAUGAAUCUUUGUUGUUGUUUUUGUUUUUUUGUUUUUUUUGUUUUUUGUUUUGUUUUUUUGUUUUUGUUUUUGUGGUUCCCUUGGACCACCAUUAUUCGAUGCUCUGUUCUCCUCAAGUCUCAUCUUCUGAAUUCAAUCCCUCACGAUGUUCUAUAUUAAAAUAAUUAUUACAAAAUACAUACAAUAUUAAAUACAUAUUCAACAAAAGAAGUGAACCUACCAAAUAGAUUGUUGGAAGGACUCUGCUAUUCAUAAUCAUUUGCAUUAUUCUCCUCUCAAUGGCUCUUUUUAUUUUGAAAUCUUCUUCCUCAUGUGUCAAUGAUGAGUUGCAUGGUAUUAUGAGAUAUGAUAUCAUGUUUUUUAGAUUUCUUCAGUGAUAUUAGAUUACAUUUAUAUUUAUUUUUAUCUCAAAAUAAGUUGUUUACUCUACUUGGAAAGUUAAGAAUUUGAUUUUGGAAUCCCUUAUUUUUUAAUUAGUUGGUGUUAUAGAUACACAUACACUGAAAGGCUAAAGAAAAUUGUCUAUAUAUGGAACAAAUAUAAGAAAAUGUACUCGUAGUUGUUGGGGGGUGAAAAUGAAUGAUUUACGGCUUGAUUUCUAUAAAUUGAAGUUCAGUGACUUUAUAAUAAGUGAAAGUUUUGUUAAUCUACUAAUCACGAUAGGUGGAUAGAGCUAACUCCGAUUAGCACAUAUAUAGAAGCCAAAAGAACGGCUUGAUUACUUUUUAAAUUAAAGUAUAGUAGCUUAAUCGCUUCAAAUUGAAAUUUAGUGACUCUAGCAUUCACCAAUAUGAUCUUGCUCACUCUUGAACUCUUCAGCAAGUUUAGCCACCGCCUCAAAGGCCGAGCUUUGAGAUGGUUCUAUAUACUCUUUUUGUCGAGGACUAACUUAUUUGACUCGUUGCUUUUUCUUGCCUUGUGUGAAUAAGUAACUUGUGCUAGGGAUUGCUCUGUGUGUUUCGGCUACAGAAGAUUCAUUUACUCAAGGUUAGGGGAGUAGGGUUCUGCCAUGUGUUGUUAAUUUGCAGUUAGUCUAUCUUAACUCCUCAGUUACUUUUGGUUGUGUGGUUACAUUGAUGUUCUUGAUCUUAAUUUUUGUUUUUGUUUCUCAUAAUUUUUCCAUUUUUCUCUUACUAAUGUUCCUUUUCAUACAGGAUUCCUAUUAUAAAUGGCGGCAACAAUGGCCAAACGGUAUACCAGGGGACUGAGAAUGGAGAACUAACCAAUAGGAGCAGUUCUGGCUCUCUGGACUCAAUGAACAACGUUGCCAUUGUAGUGGUUGACGAAACAGGUCGGGAUGGUCUUCAGGUUCCAACCGAAACAAAUAGGGGAUUUGUAUAUACUAAUGAUACCCCAGUAGUAAAUACUGGGCUAGGGACUGUAAAUACUAAAGAAAACUCAACAAUGGGUAGUCAGAUAUCUGUAUAAUACAGGUGGCUUGAUAAUUAUGAAAAAUCAAUCAAAAGAAUGCGACGAGCUUGAUUAAAGGUAUUUUUGGUAGGUCCUGCUUUAUUUUUUUAUUUAUCAUUUGUUUGUCAAUUCAUUAUUAAGUCUUUUGAUACCUCCUCUCGUUUUGUACCUGUCCUCUUAAUAAUAUUAGCUAAUAGUCGUCCUUGUUAUUUGCUUAGAACUUUUUGUAGACUGUUAUUGGCUUCAGUUUUUUCAGAUAAGCAAUUUUUCAUAGAGUAUGAUUUGCCCAGGUAUGAAGGUAUUCUUUUAUUGGUAGACUGUUAUUGGCUUCCUUAAAGUUUCAUAAUUGUGGGUGGAUUAUAUAGAGUGAGCAAUAGGAGCUUUGGACUCUGAUGUGGAAGUUUGAAAACCUUGAUGUUAGUUUUAUUCUGUGACUUUGUGAAUAUAGACAGCAAACUACAGAUGCUAUAAUUAGUUUUAAUAUGUAAAUGAAAGGUGGAUCACAACAUAGUAUUGGUGCAAGUUGAUUGGUCUAGAGAAUGUGACUUGAAUUGUGCUAGUUAUGAGGUGAUAUGGACCAUAGAUUAAAUCUAACCAUUGGAUUUAAUUUAGUGGUCAAUUAUCUAUACUAGUGUUGUCACUCUCUAAACCAUAAUACAAUAUUUGAAUUUUGAAUUCAAAUGAAUUGGCUCUAUAAUUUCAAGACCUCUUCAUUCUCUUGACUUGGACUUGGCAUAACAUUAGAGAGAGCAUAGAGAGAUAACCAAGUGGGAGCUUUCCAUAACUCCGGCAAAAUUCUUGGUGGCUUCCGGCGGAUUCUUUCUCGGUAUAUCCAUUGCCAUUCCCGUGGACGACGGUGCAUGAUCCGGUGUGGCACAAAUUUGAGCUCAACAUCAAGAACACUUCAUUGGUGGUGUUGAAGAAGCUUGGAGUCGGUUUUGGUUCUAUUUUACACUUUGAGAGUUUAUGAUUCCGCAUUGUAGUUGUAAUAAUCUUUUAUAUUCUACAAUUUAAACUCUACAGUAAAUGAAGGCAAUCUGUUUGAUGUAAUUUAUUGAUUGCUUCUCUGGAUGCCAUGUCUCUCCAUAUCUAAUAUUGUUAAAACUAAUAUGUUAUUUGUUGAGCUGCUCUAUCGUACUGUUGAGAGAAGGUAUGUCAAUUUUAU
rnacentral:lncRNA from 1 species